AACAAACAGAGAAAGAAUUAGGGAAAAAUCUGUUUUCCCUUUCCCUGAAGCAGACAGCUUCUUUAGGGUUUUAUCAACCCUUCAGCGCCGCUUUUUCAAGAACCUUCAGCUUCUUUAGGAAUAAAAGGGUCCUAGCCUCCGAUCGUGACUGAGAAUGGAGCAGAACGCGAUAAGACCGGGUAAGUCUUCCUUCUCCCCUUUUAUUCCUGUUAAGAAAUAAAAUAUGUAAAAAAAUAAAAAAACUGGAUUCACCUUCGAAAAACAAAAAAAGUCUUUGUAUUCUCAGUCUUUCUCUCUAUUUUCGUCUUUCUUUACACUCAAAAGUCCCCCCCCCCAUUUACAGAUUAAAAAUCGGGCUUUUAUAGCCGAAAUAGAAAAGAAGAAAAUCUAAAAAUCAAAGAUCAAUCUAUCCUGUUGUUUAUCCGUAUUUUGUUGCCCGAUUUUUGCCCUGCGACUCCGAGUCUUGCGGAGGUGCGCAAAGAGGGCAGUAGUUGCGGCGGCUAAGGCUGUUAGGGUUUCUGAAAUUCUGCUGUUUUUUCGUCUUUACACUCAAAAGUCCCCCCCCCCUUUACAGAAUAAAAAUCGGGCUUUUACUAAAAAUCAAAGAUCAAUCUAUCCUGUUGUUUAUCCGUAUUUUGUUGCCCGAUUUUUGCCCUUCUGUUUUGUGUUUGUUGCUGCAGGUACUGCUGAAGGUGUGUGCGCGACGUUUGCGGAGGUGCGCGAGGAGUGCGACUCCGAGUCUUGCGGAGGUGCGCGAGGAGUGCGACUCCGAGUCUUGCGGAAAUUCUGCUGUUUUUUUGGUAUUCCAUGCUAAGCUAAAAGUAAAGGGAAAAAAUAGUUGUAAUUAAUUAAAUUAAUUGUUUGCUCUUCGUAUGAGUAAAGAAGUGAUGAAAUUUAUUUGAGUUUUGUUUGGAAUGAAAGAUAAAAUUAAUUGCAAGGAUAUUUUUAUUUACUUUUAGCUUAGCAGGGAAGAUUCAAAAUCAUAUAAUCAAAAGAAUUUGGGUUUUGUAGACAACUAUUAGGGACUUUUAUCGAUAAUUUUUGAAAAUAAAUUCAAAACAUCAAAAUAAAUAACUUGUUGAAAUUUUUUUAUCCAUUGAUAAUAUCAACUGAUUUGCUAUUAUAAUUUUAACUCUUGAUAUUUAUAAUUUUAUAUUUCAAAACCCAAAUUUAGAAUUUUCAACAAUGUACAAACUGACAAUUUUUGUGUAUUAUUUUAGUUUCUACCAUUUUUUUGUACUUAAAUUUUUAUUUUUUAUUUACCUCAAUCAAUACUUAAAAAAGAUAAUUUUUUGGGUGACUAAAAUAAAAACAACUUAAAAUUUAGGUAACCAAAAUGGAAGUACAGACAUGAUGUGGCAUGUAUAGUUAACAAAUGUUAAAAAUUU
rnacentral:lncRNA from 1 species